rnacentral:rRNA from 1 species
AUGGAGGAUGCCGCAACUUCGAAUCCAGCUCCACCCAACACUGUUAUCGAUCUACCUGAUGAUGAUGAGGAUGAGGAGCCGCUGAAGCACAGGAGGAGUCGGAAAGCGCCUGCCGGCAAGGUGUCUCAGGAUGCGUCAGCGCCUGAAAUUCUGACUGUGGAGGGAGAGAACACCACUCGACACACGGUGACCUUCGCGACCCCACUGACGAGUGCUCAGCAGCCUUCCCUCUUCACGACUCACCACGUCCCAGAGGACCAGGCUGGUGCGGCGAAGGAGGCGAUACGCCAGGCGGGACUCAUGAUGGAGCAGCUGAAGACCAUCCGGGAUGCGAGUCAAGCAGCCUAUGACGCCAGCUCUGCCCUCCAAAGCAAUGUCCAGAACUCCUGUGAUCUUGUGGCUCGCUACUCAGAGCUAGAACAGAAACAUACUCAAGUCGAGCUGAGCUUGAAGCUGGUUCAGGAGAAGCUGACAAAGGCGAAGGAGGAGACUGAAGGUAAGGCAAAGGAGGCCCAGCAGAAGAAAGACCUUGAGCUAGCUGAGAAGAUCAAGCUUGCUGACGAGAAGUUAGCUUCAGUCACCAAGCUUGAACAAGACAAUACCAACCUGAAGACUGCUCUUGGGAUUGCCAACAAAGAAGUCAGUCGACUGAGAACUGACAAAGCUGCCUUGACCGAUCAAGUCAGCAAAUUGACUGAGAAGAAGACUGCGUUGGAGGCCUUCCUGAGUGGCUUUGCCAAGAAGCUGUUUCUUAUGCUCGAAGAAUUUUGUCAAAACUUUGAAGAAGAAACCAGCCGACUGGAGCCAAACCUUGACCCUGUCAAUUCUCCGGUAAAUGACGAGGUUGCCAUGGAUAUCUUCCGACUGGAAUCUCGCGUUGCAUCCGUCGUGGAUUAUCUCGCAAGGCUGAAGGCCGCCACAUCUCGCAUCGACUCGACGCUCUGGCCUGAGGAGACACUUCAGAAUGACCUUGAGUCAUUAAUGGCCCGCUUGAACACGAUCCCUGGUCGAGUGCAGGAAUGGAAGAAGUCCUCAGCUCGGUGUGGUGCAGAUGUUGCUCUGUGUCUGGCCCGAGUCCACUGCAAGGAUGCACGAGAGGAGAAGCUGGCGGCUCUUCGGGUGGCCAAUACCAAGAAGCACGACUUUAGGUCCUUCAUGGAGACUUUCCUUGCAGCUGCCACUCGGAUCGCCGACGGAAUUGACCUUGAUGAAUUCGUCGCACCUUCCAGCCCUCCACAGGAGGGGUAA